GUAAACCAAAGCGAAGAGAUACCGUAUUUUUCGGACUAUAAGACGCACCUUUUUGUCUCCCAAAAGGGGGUGAAAAUGUCUGUGCGUCUUAUAGGCCGAAUAUUGCGGGAGCCCCACCCACCCGCCAGCCAUUUUUUUUGCCUCCACACACCCUGUUUUCGGGCCUUUUUUCAGCCUUUUUCAGGCCUUUUUUUGGCCAAUUUUUGGCCCAUUUCCAGAAAAAAACGGGCCGAAAAAACCCUCAAAACAGGUUGAAAAAAGCCCCAAAAAGGGGCCCCAAAAAAUCCUCAAAAACAGCCCCCCAAAAACCUUGAAAACGGGCUGAAAAAAAGCCUUGAAAAAGGGGUGAGAAAAGCCUCAAAAAUGGGCCUAAAAAGCCCCGAAAAAGGGCCAAAAAAUCCUCAAAAACAGCCCCCCAAAAGCCUUGAAAACGGGCUGAAAAAAGCCUUGAAAACGGGCCGAGAAAAGCCUCCAAAAUGGGCCGAAAAAAGCUGAAAAAAUGGCCGAAAAAAGCCUCAAAAAAGGGCCAAAAAUCCCCCCAAACAGCCCCCCAAAAAGCCUUGAAAAUGGGCUGAAAAAAACCCUGAAAACGGGCCGAGAAAAGCCUCCAAAAUGGGCUGAAAAAAAGCCCCGGAAACAGCCCGAAUAAAGCCUGGAAAAGGCCUGAAAAAAGGUAGGCCAAAAACAUUUUUUUGUUCUUUUCUCUUCUAAAUUUACGUGCAUCUUAUAGUCUGAAAAAUACUGUAAGUAAUCUGAUAUUGUCCAGACGAUUUGGCCUGCAGUCCUCUUACCCUCAUUAAGUGUGUUGAAGGCCUUGAAAAUUGAAUCCCAGACUCCUGAGGGUAUCACAUAAAAUAAAAAAAGAAAAGAAAAUACAGGAUUCUGAUCAGAGGUUAUUUCAAAUGCAAUCUCUUAAUUCUUAUUUUUAUAGCCCUUUUUCCAGACUCUGUAUAUCUUGCCAUGAUAUAAAAAAGAUGUGGGGACUCUGGAAAGAGUGCAGAGAAGAGCAACGAAGAUGAUUAGGGGGGCUGGAGGCUAAAACAUAUGAUGGUUGAUGGUUACAGGAACUGUGUAUGUCUAGUUUAAUGAAAAUAACAACUAUGAGGGGAAAUGAUAGCAGUCUUCCAAUAUCUCAGGGGCUGCCACAAAGAGGAGGGAGUCAACUUAUUCUCCAAAGCACCUGAAGGCAGGACAGGAAGCAACGGAUGGAAACUCAUCAAGGAGAGAAGCAACCUAUAACAAAGGAGAAAUUUCCUGACAAUGUGAAUGAUUACUCAGUGGAAUUCAGAAUUCAACGUUUCGCCUCUCACUGGAGAUGCAGACAACCCCAGACUCAUCCCCAACAACCUGUGCCUGUCUUCAACAAUGAACGGACACCGGGCAGAGAAACAUUCUGCAGUCAAGAGGGUUUCACGUCCAUUUGCACUACUCAGGUGACCCAGAUGAACCUCCAAGUAGCCUCACCGACUCACUAAAUUAAAAGGAUGCAAAUGACCAGCUAUCUGCAAGGAAUAUACAUCCUUCCCUUCCCCACCAUCCAGUCAGAGCUGAAGAAGCUUCUUGGAGGAGAAGCGAAACGUCUUCAAAGAAAAAAAACCAGAAAGUCCAGUUGCCUCCUGAAAAAGCACCUUUGGACAUCCAUCCAUCACGUCUUC